rnacentral:rRNA from 1 species
ACCUCGAGUGCCAGGUUACAAAUCUGGCUGUCGAGAUGCCUAAAAGGCAUUUCAUAGCAAGGGCCGGGCAAGACCGGUGCCAGCCGCCGCGGUAACACCGGCGGCUCGAGUGGUAACCGUUAUUAUUGGGUCUAAAGGGUCUGUAGCCGGCCGGAUAAGUCUCUUGAGAAAUCUGGCAGCUUAACUGUCAGGCUUUCAGGAGAUACUGUCUGGCUCGAGGCCGGGAGAGGUGAGAGGUACUUCAGGGGUAGGGGUGAAAUCUUGUAAUCCUUGAAGGACCACCAGUGGCGAAGGCGUCUCACCAGAACGGACCUGACGGCAAGGGACGAAAGCUAGGGGCACGAACCGGAUUAGAUACCCGGGUAGUCCUAGCCGUAAACGAUACUCGCUAGGUGUCGGCCACGGUGCGACCGUUGUCGGUGCCGUAGGGAAGCCGUGAAGCGAGCC